CUUCUGAGUAUAGUGUUAGCAGACAGGACUUUGAUAGAGAAAGUGGAAGCUACAUCCAAUGGGUCAUUGGAAAGCCUGCAUGACCAGGAAGGAGGGGUGUUCAAGACAAGAGCCAUGAAGAUCAUCAUGAAAGUUGGACAAGAUGCAAGUCCUGCUGGAUCAACCAGGAAUAAUGAUCCAACAAGACGUCCAGAGCUAGAAGCUGGUACAAACCAAAGAAAUUCAACAACAAGCUCUUUUGUGUAACCAAAUCCAGGGACAGCAGUGUGGUGGGGCUAUGUGUCUAUGAGGUGCAUUUUUCUUAGAACGUCUAGAGGCAGAAGAGCCUCAAAACACAUCCAAACCUGUGGAAUUCACUUGUGGCCAGAGAUUCCUGGUGUCUUUGCUCUCAGCGAGUCAAUAUUAACUCUGACACUAAGACAGACUAA